CACGAAGUUAGCCGGGGCUUAUUCUUCCGGUACCGUCAUUAUCGUCCCGGACAAAAGAGCUUUACAACCCUAAGGCCUUCAUCACUCACGCGGCAUGGCUGGAUCAGGCUUGCGCCCAUUAUCCAAUAUUCCCCACUGCUGCCUCCCGUAGGAGUCUGGGCCGUGUCUCAGUCCCAGUGUGGCUGAUCAUCCUCUCAGACCAGCUACUGAUCGUCGCCUUGGUAGGCCGUUACCCCACCAACAAGCUAAUCAGACGCGGGCCGAUCCUUCGGCAGUAAACCUUUCCCCAAAAGGGCGUAUCCGGUAUUAGCUCAAGUUUCCCUGAGUUAUUCCGAACCGAAGGGUACGUUCCCACGUGUUACUCACCCGUCUGCCACUGACACCCGAAGAUGCCCGUUCGACUUGCAUGUGUUAAGCCUGCCGCCAGCGUUCGCUCUGAGCCAGGAUCAAACUCU
rnacentral:rRNA from 1 species